rnacentral:lncRNA from 1 species
GCAGUUUACAUUUAUUUUAUUUAGUUGUCCAAUUCGAUGGAAACUUCCAAACAAAUUCAAUACGGUGUUGAGAAAUUACGAACAAAAAACAUCUUUCACAUGAUCUUUUUCUCUACGAAAUAAAGGGCAUUUAUAUGAUUACGUAUAAAACAAGAGUGUUUUCUGUAAAAAAAACUUGCGACGCCGGCACCUGACAGGCGGACCCAUCGGUCAAAUACACCAUCAAUACAUAUUUAUACGUGGUUUUGAUUUUUUUGUAACAGCUUGUCCGAAAGUUGAUACUAACAUGAAAAAAAAUAUCAAACUUACUACCAAUCUGCACAUACUACACAAUUGUGAUAUUUGUAUGCAAUUUAAUCUAGCAGAUGAGUCGAAGCAAGCCAGCUUUGUAUGUUGCCUCUUACGGGUAAGCAUGGGACAACUCGGGCCUGCGCCAACUAUAACUUGAAGCCUCUAUCAGUGGCCUUGACAACAAGAAGGCAGGCCGCCAGUGACUACCCCCGGAUAUGAAGCAGGAUGGGGCGAAGCUAUUCGAGGUGCCACGAGAGAUGCAUUCCCAGAUUUAGUGGCCGAUCAGGUGUGCUUGAUGAAAUCAAUAACAAGAUCAUUCUAGCCCGACGUUGGCUCUAUGUAUUCAAAGAAGUUCCUGAUACCUUCCAUUUCUGCGAAUAUUAUUUAUGAGAAUCAAACAUGAGUAUGUGGCAUUGCCUGUUUCUGUGAAAAGGUGGAAGCUCGGUUGGUGGCAUGCGAGAAGGAGAAACA